CCUCAGGUCUUAUGAUGAGGCUGAGGAAUAUGUGGGACCACAUCAAGACUGAGAGGACCCCCUUCCUCCUCAGGACCUGCAGCUUGGCUUCGGGACACAUGGGGCUGCGUCUAGGCUGACAGCAACCCACAGCCUCCUCAGGACCCGCGGUGAGUUUUCAGGGGACAUGAGGCCAUAUCCAGGCUGACAGGAGCACCCGGCCUCCUGAGAACCUGCUGUGAGGCUUCCAGAGGUUGUGAGGCAUCCAGAAGGAUGUUCCUCCUCCUUCCAGAGUAGGCAUACUCCACGUUGGCAGGAGACCCGGCGCACUCAGGACCCACUGACUAUGACUCUGGAACACGUGGGGCCACGUCCGCAUUCACAGGAGCCCGGCUUCCUCAGGACCCCCUGGAGGACUCUGGAGGCACCGUUGGGAGCCACGUCCAUGUCAGAAGGGACUCCUCAGAACCAUAGGUUCAGUCACUCAUCAGGAAAUGCAUCUUUAUGGAUUUGGAAAGAACCGAGAGACAUUAUUACCAAUGGUCCUAUUAUUAUGUGAAGGAUUUUUUCCUGAGAUUCUUCCCAUGUUUCAACUGACACUGAAACACUGUGAACUCCUUGGAAGACAAAUGUCAAGGAAAUAAAUGUUAUGCGUUGCAAAUUUUAAA